GCUUAUUAGACAUGCACGUGGUCUCAACUGUGCCAGCUUGGAAAUAGCUUACGAACUCAAGGUGACAGUUUUCCUUGGUCUUGACCAGGGCCUUCUUGUAGAGGGCCUAGGGGUGAGUUCUGCACAGUGGCCGGGGCCUGUGUGGGAAUUUGAUUGACACCUGCAGAUUUCACCAUGCUCUGGAUACAGCUGUGGCCUCCCCACCCCUGUGGCCUCAUGAUUGGUGAUGUGGGCCCCUACUGGAGCAGCCAGGAUUUAGGAAUACCAGCGCCGCAGUCUCCCCAUGGCUUUCAGCAAAUAGGGACUGUUUGUCCAUAUCUCCUGUAAACAGUUGUUUUCUCAGUGAUCACCCAGCUCGUGUUAAAUACUAACAGAGAACUGCUCCACAGCCUCUCUUGGGUUGUCUGUUUUAAAUAUUUAAGUAAUUGCUCUUCCUUGUCGCUGAGUGACAUUUUGGCUCAAAUUUUCAAAUUUGCUGUAACUGCUGUUGCUUCUCUGGUUAUUAAAUUGCGUGAAAUGUC